rnacentral:lncRNA from 1 species
CCAAAUGGGCUAAGAACUCGGAAACAUUGCGUUGAACCAGUAAAUGGCUUGUCUAGUGUUGUUUGGGGUAAUAAUAUGUUAGAAUACAAUGAAUUUGAUUGAUUACCAGUGCUAGAGAUGCAUGAAGAGUGUUUAGAAGAGUGUAGAAAAACUUGUUGAAAUUUAGGGCGAGAUGAGCUAAGAACCCACAACCAUUGCUUUCAA